rnacentral:rRNA from 1 species
GAUGAACGCUGACAGCAUGCUUAACACAUGCAAGUCAACUUGAACUUCGGUUUGGGUGCCCCUCGGGUGAGUAACGCGUAAAGAACUUUCCUCCCAGCUACGGACAACUUUUGGACACGAAUGCUAAUACCUGACCUUAUGUUUAUACGGCUUCGUUUAUUUAUCACAGCUAUAUGUGCUGUGAGAGAGCUUUGCGUUCCAUUAGCUAGUUGGACAGGUAACAGUUCCCCAAGGCGAUGAUCGGUAGCCGGCCUGGGAGGGUGAUCGGCCACAAGGGGACUGAGACAGGGCCCUUACUCCUACGGGAGGCAGCAGUGGGGAAUAUUGGACAAUGGACCGAGAGUCUGAUCAAGCAAUUCUGUGUGCACGAUGAAGUUUUUCGGAAUGUAAAGAGCUUUCAGUUGGGAAGAAAAAAAUGACGGUACCAACAGAAGAAGUGACGGCUAAAUACGUG